UAAACAAUGCCGGUGCUCGGCGUGCAGGACGCCGAAGAGUUGUGCUGUUUUGUUUUCUUAAAUCAAAUAUAAUACAUCGUGCUAAGAGGAUUUCCAGUAUGACAGCUCCAUGGCUGAUAUGAAACGUGACUUGAGUAGCUCACUCAUGCAUCACUGGAGACCUGAACCUCCCCCAGCAAACAUCACCUAACUUGGGAACAUCAUCCAAAGAUGCCUGCGAAUUCUCCAGCCGUGGUUCAGAUGGAGAAAUCAAACGAACAGCUAAACAGCACCGUACAGGUUGAUUGCAAUGUUCACAUUUUCGUUG